AUUGAACGCUGGCGGCAGGCCUAACACAUGCAAGUCGAGCGGAUGAGGAGAGCUUGCUCUCUGAUUCAGCGGCGGACGGGUGAGUAAUGCCUAGGAAUCUGCCUGGUAGUGGGGGACAACGUUUCGAAAGGAACGCUAAUACCGCAUACGUCCUACGGGAGAAAGUGGGGGAUCUUCGGACCUCACGCUAUCAGAUGAGCCUAGGUACGAUUAGCUAGUUGGUGAGGUAAAGGCUCACCAAGGCGACGAUCGUUAACUGGUCUGAGAGGAUGAUCAGUCACACUGGAACUGAGACACGGUCCAGACUCCUACGGGAGGCAGCAGUGGGGAAUAUUGGACAAUGGGCGAAAGCCUGAUCCAGCCAUGCCGCGUGUGUGAAGAAGGUCUUCGGAUUGUAAAGCACUUUAAGUUGGGAGGAAGGGCAGUAAGUUAAUACCUUGCUGUUUUGACGUUACCGACAGAAUGAGCACCGGCUAACUUCGUGCCAGCCGCCGCAGUAA
rnacentral:rRNA from 1 species